AAUACAUGCAAGUCGAGCGAGCUACUUCGGUAGCGAGCGGCGCACGGGUGAGUAACGCGUAGAUGAUCUACCCUCGAGACUGAGAUACCUCCGGGAAAACUGGAGUUAAUACCAGAUAACGCACAUUUGUUGGUUCAGAUGUGUUAAAGCGGUGCAAGUCGCACUUGAGGAUGAGUCUGCGGCCUAUCAGCUAGUUGGUGGGGUAGCGGCCUACCAAGGCGAAGACGGGUAGCUGAUCUGAGAGGAUGAUCAGCCACAGUUGGGACUGAGACACCGGACCCAAACUCCGUACGGGAGGCAGCAGUAGGGAAUAUUGCGCAAGUCGGGGGAACCCUGACGCAGCGACGCCGCGUGAGUGAAUGACGGCCAUUUUGGUUGUAAAGCUCUGUAAAGAGGGAAAAAUGUUGCAGUGAAGAGCUGCAAUUGAUGGUACCUCUAAAGUAAGGACCGGCUAAAUACGUGCCAGCCGCAGC
rnacentral:rRNA from 1 species